rnacentral:lncRNA from 1 species
GCAAAAUUUGAGGUCAAUUAAAUAAUUAAAUUGAAGCAUAUGAGGGUUUUUCUAGGUUGAAGUCUCAAAAAUUGGAGUUUGAGAGUUAAUUAAGAUCUUUACUAAUUUUCCAAUUGUAUUGGAGUAAAAAUUAUUUAUAUGAAUAAUAGACUUGAUUUUCAAUAUUUUUGUGAAAUUUGAGAGAAAUUCAAUGGUUUACGGAGAAAAUAUUGGCAUUUGAAGCUGAGCAUUAAGCUCAAAAUAGGAUGCCACCCAACAUCCACUUGGAUUAUCUUACAUUUCUCUCAAUUAAUAAGCGCAAUCAAUUUCAUCUUUCUUAUAUUUAUUUCUGAUUAAGUUAUUAAGAAGUGUGCAAAAUUUGAGUUGAUAUCAAUGGUUCAAUCAUUAAUUGUUGAGGUUUCAAUUUGCUAUAGGAUUAUUAAGAACUUAUUUAAGAUUUAGAGUUUUAUUAGGAUUUUUUUUGGAUUUAGGACUUCAUUAGGAUUUCAAUUAGGAUUUGACUUACGAUUUGAUUAAGGAUUAUUAGGAUUUUAGUUAGGAUUA